GAAGGACGUUGCGGCCUGCGAUAUGCCUCGGGGAGCUGGCGAGCGAGCGUUAUUAUCCGAGGGUGUCCGAAUGGGGGAACCUAACCUGGGUUGUGCUGGGUUACCAUCAUCUGAACGUGUAUAGGGUGGUGGGGGGAACGCGGGGAAGUGAAACAUCUCAGUACCCGUAGGAGAAGAUAUUCCGUGAGUAGUGGCGAGCGAAAGCGGAGGAGGCUAAACCAGAUGCGUGUGAGAGGCGGCGGCCGUUGCGUGUUUGGUGUUGUGGGGCCAUGUUGGAUCCUUCUGCCGGGGGGUCGCGCCGUAUGAUGCUGGGAGUCGAACAGUUUGGGAUGGCUGACCGUAGAGCGUGAGAGUCGUGUAGGUGGACUGGUGUUGUGUGGUGUGGAUGUGGUGCCCGAGUAGUGCGGGACUCGUGAAAUCUCGUGUGAAUCUGCCAAGACCACUUGGUAAGCCUAAAUACUACUUGAUGACCGAUAGUGCAUAGUACCGUGAGGGAAUGGUGAAAAGUACCCCGGGAGGGGAGUGAAAUAGUACCUGAAACCGUGUGCCUGUAAGCCGUCAGAGCCUUGUGGGGUGAUGGCGUGCCUUUUGAAGAAUGAGCCUGCGAGUUAGUGAUACGUGGCGUGCUUAACCCGUGUGGGGUAUGCGUAGCGAAAGCGAGUCUGAAAAAUUUGGCGUUUGUCGCGUGUUCUAGACCCGAAGCGGGGUGAUCUACCCAUGGUCAGGUUGAAGCAGAGGUAAGACUGUGUGGAGGACCGAACCCACCAGGGUUGAAAACCUGGGGGAUGAACUGUGGGUAGGGGUGAAAGGCCUACUGGAUGGCCGAUGGGCCCUGUGGGUUACUGACGUCAGCCAAACUCCGAAUGCCAUUAGGUGUAGCGUGGCAGUGAGACUGCGGGGGAUAAGCUUCGUAGUCGAGAGGGAAACAGCCCAGAUCAUCAGCUAAGGCCCCUAAGCGUACGCUAAGUGGGAAAGGAUGUGGAGUCGCGGUGACAACCAGGAGGUUGGCUUAGAAGCAGCCAUCCUUGAAAGAGUGCGUAAUAGCUCACUGGUCAAGUGGUUCUGCGCCGACAAUGUAGCGGGGCUCAAGCGUACCGCCGAAGCUGUGGCAACAACGCGUUGUGCUGGCGCCAGGAACUGGAGUGCUGGUGUGUUGUUGGGUAGGGGAGCGUCCUGCACGAGGUGAAGCCUGGAGGUGACUUCUGGUGGAUUGUGUGGGAGUGAGAAUGCAGGCAUGAGUAACGAAUCUGCGGUGAGAAUCCGCAGCGCCGAUUGACUAAGGGUUCCAGGGCUAGGUUUAUCCGCCCUGGGUUAGUCGGGUCCUAAGGCGAGGCCGACAGGCGUAGUCGAUGGACAACCAGUUGAUAUUCUGGUACCGCGUUGUGACCGCCCAUGCUGAAGUCAUUGUGCUAACCAAUUUGCCUGCCGCCUGCUGGGCCUUCGGGUUUGGUGGUGUGUGUGGGUCUUGGGGUCCCGGUGAUUGUAGGCAAGCGUGUUAACAGGGGUGACGCAGACAGGUAGCUGCAGUGCGCCGAUGGUUGUGCGUAUUUAAGGUUGUGGCCCGUCUCCUAGGUAAAUCCGGGGGGCACUGUGGGUGAGAACUGAUGAGGGUGACACGGAUUGUGUUGUCUUGUGGUGAUCCUAUGCUGCCAAGAAAAGCCUCGACGUGAGGGCAUGACGCGCCCGUACCCUAAACCGACUCAGGUGGUCAGGUAGAGUAUACCGAGGCGUUCGAGUGAAUCAUGGUUAAGGAACUCGGCAAAAUUCCUCCGUAACUUCGGGAUAAGGAGGACCCCUUGACUUUCCCGCGCCAUGCGCGCUGGUGGGGUUGGGGGGUCGCAGAGAAUAGGGAGAAGCGACUGUUUAUCAAAAACACAGGUGCGUGCGAAGCCGUAAGGCGAUGUAUACGCACUGACGCCUGCCCGGUGCUGGAAGGUUAAGAGGAACCGUCAACAUCCCUUGCGGGUGUGAAGCGGUGAAUUUAAGCCCCAGUAAACGGCGGUGGUAACUAUAACCAUCCUAAGGUAGCGAAAUUCCUUGUCGGGUAAGUUCCGACCUGCACGAAUGGCGUAACGACUUCUCCGCUGUCUCAACCGUGAACUCGGUGAAAUUGCAGUACGAGUAAAGAUGCUCGUUUCGCGCAGAAGGACGGAAAGACCCCGGGACCUUUACUAUAGCUUGGUAUUGGUGUUCGCUUGGACUUGUGUAGGAUAGGUGGGAGACUGUGAAGCUGCCGCGCCAGCGGUGGUGGAGUCGUCGUUGAAAUACCAUUCUGGUUCAAGCGGUCACCUUAACCUUGGCCCGUGAUCCGGGUUGGGGACAGUGCCUGGUGGGUAGUUUAACUGGGGCGGUUGCCUCCUAAAAUGUAACGGAGGCGCUCAAAGGUUCCCUCAGCCUGGUUGGUAAUCAGGUGGCGAGUGCAAGUGUACAAGGGAGCUUGACUGUGAGACCGACGGGUCGAGCAGGUGCGAAAGCAGGAACUAGUGAUCCGGCCAUGGCACGUGGGUGCGUGGUCGCUCAACGGAUAAAAGGUACCCCGGGGAUAACAGGCUGAUCUUGCCCAAGAGUCCAUAUCGACGGCAUGGUUUGGCACCUCGAUGUCGGCUCGUCGCAUCCUGGGGCUGGAGUUGGUCCCAAGGGUUGGGCUGUUCGCCCAUUAAAGCGGUACGCGAGCUGGGUUCAGAACGUCGUGAGACAGUUCGGUCCCUAUCCUCUGUGCGCGCAGGAAAUUUGAGAAGGGCCGUCCCCAGUACGAGAGGACCGGGAUGGACGAACCUCUGGUGUGCCAGUUGUACCGCCAGGUGCAUGGCUGGUUAGCUACGUUCGGAAGGGAUAACCGCUGAAAGCAUCUAAGCGGGAAGCCUGCUUCAAGAUGAGGUUUCCACGCCCCCCAGUGG
rnacentral:rRNA from 1 species